SMUUUGGUGGAUGAGUGGCGAACGGGUGAGUAACACGUGGGUGAUCUGCCCUACACUUUGGGAUAAGCCUGGGAAACUGGGUCUAAUACCGAAUAUUCACACCACCGUAGGGGUGGUGUGGAAAGCYUUAUGCGGUGUGGGAUGAGCCUGCGGCCUAUCAGCUUGUUGGUGGGGUAAUGGCCUACCAAGGCGUCGACGGGUAGCCGGCCUGAGAGGGUGUACGGCCACAUUGGGACUGAGACACGGCCCAGACUCCUACGGGAGGCAGCAGUGGGGAAUAUUGCACAAUGGGCGCAAGCCUGAUGCAGCGACGCCGCGUGGGGGAUGACGGCCUUCGGGUUGUAAACUCCUUUCGCUAGGGACGAAGCCACUUGUGGU
rnacentral:rRNA from 1 species